AGCAGUGUGGUGUAAUGCGCACACGGGGUCUCCUUGAGACGAAAUCGAAUAUUAAUGUUAACCCCGAGGUCCUUGUUCGAGCCAAGGCGCUGCUG